GUCGAACGAGAGCGACCGGUGCUUGCACUGGUCAAUCUAGUGGCGAACGGGUGAGUAACACGUGGGUAACCUGCCCAUCAGAGGGGGAUAACAUCCGGAAACGGGAUGCUAAAACCGCAUAGGUCUUCGAACCGCAUGGUUUGAAGAGGAAAAGAGGCGCAAGCUUCUGCUGAUGGAUGGACCCGCGGUGCAUUAGCUAGUUGGUGAGGUAACGGCUCACCAAGGCCGUGAUGCAUAGCCGACCUGAGAGGGUGAUCGGCCACAUUGGGACUGAGACACGGCCCAAACUCCUACGGGAGGCAGCAGUAGGGAAUCUUCCGCAAUGGACGCAAGUCUGACGGAGCAACGCCGCGUGAGUGAAGAAGGUUUUCGGAUCGUAAAACUCUGUUGUUAGAGAAGAACAAGUGCUAGAGUAACUGUUAGCGCCUUGACGGUAUCUAACCAGAAAGCCACGGCUAACUACGUGCCAGCAGCCGCGGUAAUACGUAGGUGGCAAGCGUUGUCCGGAUUUAUUGGGCGUAAAGCGAGCGCAGGCGGUUCCUUAAGUCUGAUGUGAAAGCCCCCGGCUCAACCCGGGGAGGGUCAUUGGAAACUGGGGAACUUGAGUGCAGAAGAGGAGAGUGGAAUUCCAUGUGUAGCCGGUGAAAUGCCGUAGAUAUAUGGAG
rnacentral:rRNA from 1 species